rnacentral:rRNA from 1 species
GGCAAAGGCGGGAGGGACAUUAAUGAGUUAUUAAACUCCAAACCCUAUGUGAACCUUACCGUCGUUGCCUCGGCGUGAGCUACGGCUACCCUGUAGUUACCCUGGAGCUACCCUAUAGCUACCCUGUAGUUACCCUAUAGCUACCCUAUAGUUACCCUGCAGCUACCCUAUAGGUACCCUGGAGCUACCCUGUAGACGGCUUAUGGCCCGCCGAAGGACCGCUAAACUCUUGUUUUUAUUGCUGUUAUUCUGAAUUAUAAACUAAAAUAAGUUAAAACUUUCAACAACGGAUCUCUUGGUUCUGGCAUCGAUGAAGAACGCAGCGAAAUGCGAUAAGUAAUGUGAAUUGCAGAAUUCAGUGAAUCAUCGAAUCUUUGAACGCACAUUGCGCCCAUUAGUAUUCUAGUGGGCAUGCCUAUUCGAGCGUCAUUUCGACCCCUAAGCCCCUGUUGCUUAGUGUUGGGAAUCUACGGCGUAGUUCCUUAAAGUUAGUGGCGGAGUUAGGGUACACUCUCAGCGUAGUAAUAUCUCUCGCUCGUGUGGUGGCCUUGGCUGCUGGCCGUUAAAACCCCUAUAUUUUUUAGUGGUUGACCUCGAAUUAGGUAAGAAUACCCGCUGAACUUAAGCAUAUCAAUAAGCGGAGGAAU